rnacentral:rRNA from 1 species
UACAGAGGUCUCGAGCGUUAGGCGGAAUCACUGGGCUUAAAGCGUGUGUAGGCGGAUCGUUAAGUACCUUGUGAAAUCCCACGGCUCAACCGUGGAACUGCUGGGUAUACUGGCGAUCUUGGGCCAUUCAGGGGCGACUGGAACAAGCGGUGGAGCGGUGAAAUGCGUAGAUAUCGCUUGGAACGCCGAAGGUGAAAACAGGUCGCUGGGGAUGUGCCGACGCUGAGACACGAAAGCCAGGGGAGCAAACGGG